rnacentral:misc_RNA from 1 species
UUUUUUUAUUUUUUCAGUUAUGUUGAAAUAUUUCUACGUGUUUACGUUUUAGGUAAAGUUAUACACGCUGAUAGGAAAUACUGAGGAGGUAUUUUAAAUUGAGUGAAGACCAGGAUGACACAAACAAAAUGAUAAAACUUUAAUUUUCUUCAGUGUCUGAUAAAAAAGCGAAUGGUAUGUGUCAGUAUCUUUUGCAGCAACCGUGCAAGGUGAUUCAUAAAUGUAUGUCCAUACUUCAGGUGAUGAAUCUACACAUUAAAAUAAAUUUUUAAAAAAAGGGCGUAUGAACGUAUGUCCUAUCAUCUAGAAAAUUGUAACGAGCUAGCUAGAAUAGAAUACUGGCUACCUAAAAUUUUAUUUUAUUUAUAUCAAUUGAUAUUGUUUCGCACAUGUUGCACUCUGGCUGAACAGCUUGCAAGUUGGUUACAAUAUAAACUUUGAAUUUACUCACAAGACAACUAACAAAGUUAACUUCGACGAAUAUGUUAUCUGUUUUGCUUUUAUAAUAAACAACAGAUUUACUGGAUGACAACCUUGAUAUUUGUUAGAUUCCCAACGAAUAGAUUUGAUACUUGCUAGAGUGAUAGAUGCUAAAUGUAGCAGUUAGCAUAACAGAUGACGGACCAAACUAUACUGUAGAUAUUGUGGAGUGACGAAUCUCAGGGAGGUUUUUUUCAAGAUUCGCAAAAAUUUGAAGAAUAGGCAAUGCUGUUGGGAGUAACACGUAGGUUGGAGAAUUUUCAAGUUACUCGAACUUAAAGAGGUGGCGGAAAAGGACGAUGAUUGGUUACAGGAAAGUUGGUGAAAAUGAACUCUGUCUACUGGUCAUCCUCAGUUAGCGAUUGACGUGGGUCGACGUGCGUGACGUCCGUGUAAUCAGUUAACGGUUCACAAGUGAUGAAGUCAUAAAGCGUGUGGGUCUCGAAAACAUAUUGAUUUGUAGAAUAUAUUUUCUAUAAAUUUUUAGUCAUCGGGGCCACAGCUGCAGAAGACAAACCCAUUGGAUUUAUAAUCCUAUUAUUGCACAGCAACAGCACACUUGAGACGAAAAUGACUCGACUUGAAAAAGAAUGUUUCCCAGAAGAAAGGCUACUUUUCUACAUAAUUAAAUCAAAUUUAUGAAAAAGAAGAAUAAUGCUUAUAAAACAGUUUUAAAUGUAUUUUUCCCUCAUUUUUAGAUUCUGACCCUGGAAAACUAUCAAACUACUACUAACCAUCAUUCGAAAGUACUUUACAUAUCGUUAUACACGUAGAAAACAUAAUACAGUAGAUUCAAUCUGUGCAAAAAAGAAACAGAAAAAGAGAAAAAGAGUAUACAUUUUUCAUAAGAAAAUGAAGAAAAGGUGUUUGGCGUCAAGUUAUUCAACGAGCUUACAAGGAUAAACCGAAUAUCGAACGAUCGGAAUGCUGACGUUCAGACGUGCUAUUUUUGGAAAUAGCUUCAGUUAAAAAUGCUGGAAUCAAUUAUUCUAAGAGUCAAGAAGUAGAAUCUAUUCUACCACAGCAACUUCUGUAUCUCUGUAGAGCACGUGUACUGCUAGCGUCUUCGUUCUUUAUAUUUUAUAUUUUCACCUAAAUCUUUCUUUGAUUCGAUGCAGAAUUUUGACUUAUUUUUGACUUAUUUAAUUACUAUGUUACGAACAAUAGGAUUAAUUGUACCACAAAAAAUAAUUCCUAAAAUCUCUUUUUGCAUUUUCCUAGAAGAAGAUUUUCUUUUCUAACAUAGUAUCCUAACAUAGUAGAUCUUAAAAUCUACUCGACCAAUUGGUUUAAAAUUUGAUGUGCACUUUCAGCCCGCGUAUCACUGUAGCUUGAAUUAGAAUAAAUUUAGUACUUUUCCUUCUUCUUCUUCUUUUUUUUUUUUUUACCCCCAAAAGUUGAAAAGAUAUGAGAAAAAUUAAUAAUCAAACUUCAUAGGAUUGAGUUAACAGAAAUAUCAUGUAACAUGCUUUUUGUGUUUGUCGGAAUAUCCACUACAAUCUCGUGAAAAAGACAUAUGAUCCUAUUUAUGUUACCCAAGGUGACCUUGGUUUCGAUAUAGAAAGAAAGUAUUUUCGCAAUUUUUUUAUUGUCGUUUAUAGUACACUCGACAUCGGUAAAGUACGUAAUAAAAAUUAAUGUUUAUUUAAAUGGAAACCAG